CCAAUGCACUUAAGGAUCACUGUUCACUGUUCACUCUGAUCACAACAUUAGAUUAAACCCAAAUAAUUCUAACCUUUAGAGAGCCUUGAGGAAAUGUACACGCAGUCCUCAGCUGUUGGGCAACAGUACAGCUUGGCUCUCAACACUUUGGAAAAGAAAAGAGACCAGAGGAGCAGCUAUGAGUUUAACAGCAGCAGCGAGUGGAUUUGUUGUCUUCCUUCUCUCUGUACAAGUGAUACAGGGUCAGGAUGGCUGGGGAGUGACUUACACCUCUACUCAGAUCUGUGCUGUUAAAGGAUCAACAGUGGAAAUACACUGCAGAUACAGAUACCCAUACUGGUGGAAAAAUCGUCAUACUACAAUUGAGAGAACAUUAUGGUAUACUAAAAUGAAUAAUAAUGAACCUGUAGAUCUGACAAAAGACUCAGAAUAUUCAGGUCGUGUGCAGUACAGUUAUAAUUACAACGACUGCACUCUGAGAAUCUCAGACCUGAGAGAGAGAGACUCAGCUGUGUACAAGUUCAGGUUCACAACAAACCAAGAAGAUGGAAGAUAUAUCACUUCACCUGGAGUCACUUUGUCUGUCACAGCAGGUCUCCAGGUGAUAUCACGUUCUAACAGGCUGGAGUGUCGGAGCAGUUGUCGUCUACCUAAUAAUCCUUCCUAUGUCUGGUACAAGAAUGGACAGGAAAUUCAGGCACAAACAUCUUAUUAUUUAUACCCUGUGUAUAAUUCAGACAG